GACGAACGCUGGCGGCGUGCUUAACACAUGCAAGUCGAACGGUAAGGCCCUUCGGGGUACACGAGUGGCGAACGGGUGAGUAACACGUGAGCAACCUGCCCCGAAGACCGGGAUAACACCGGGAAACCGGUGCUAAUACCGGAUGCCCUCGCCUGACCGCAUGAUCCGGCGAGGGAAGCUCCGGCGCUUCGGGAUGGGCUCGCGACCCAUCAGCUUGUUGGUGGGGUCAAGGCCCACCAAGGCGACGACGGGUAGCGGGUCUGAGAGGAUGUCCAGCCACACUGGGACUGAGACACGGCCCAGACUCCUACGGGAGGCAGCAGUGGGGAAUCUUGCGCAAUGGGCGAAAGCCUGACGCAGCGACGCCGCGUGCGGGAUGAAGGCCUUCGGGUUGUAAACCGCUUUCAGCAGGGACGAAAUUGACGGUACCUGCAGAAGAAGCCCCGGCCAACUACGUGCCAGCCGCCGCCGUAA
rnacentral:rRNA from 1 species